GACGAACGCUGGCGGCGUGCUUAACACAUGCAAGUCGAACGGAAAGGCCUGCUUUCCCUUGUGGAUUGCGGGUACUCGAGUGGCGAACGGGUGAGUAACACGUGAGUGAUCUGCCCCCAACUUGGGUAUAAGCCUGGGAAACUGGGUCUAAUUCCCGAUAGGACUGCAGGGUGGUGCCUGUGGUGGAAAACGAUUUUCUAGUGGUUGGGGGUGAGCUCGCGGCCUAUCAGCUUGUUGGCGGGGUAAUGGCCUACCAAGGCGGCGACGGGUAGCCGGCCUGAGAGGGUGGACGGCCACAUUGGGACUGAGAUACGGCCCAGACUCCUACGGGAGGCAGCAGUGGGGAAUAUUGCACAAUGGGCGGAAGCCUGAUGCAGCGACGCCGCGUGGGGGAUGACGGCCUUCGGGUUGUAAACUCCUUUCGACCGCGAGGAAGCCACCUGGUUGGAAGGGUGGUGACGGUAGUGGUAGAAGAAGCACCGGCUAACUACGUG
rnacentral:rRNA from 1 species